rnacentral:lncRNA from 1 species
CAAAGAACAAGGCAGGGUGCCAAUUUCCACACUAUCAAGUACUACAAGGAAAUGUCUAAAAGGCUGGAGUGCAAUGAUGCAAUUUCAACUCACCACAAUGUCCACCUUCUGGGUUCAAGCGAUUCUCCUGCCUCAGCCUCCCCAGUAGCUGGGAUUACAGACAAACUAGCAGUAAAUGCUUUUUGAGCUCCUGGCGUGCAGAUAAAUUCCUACGGACAUCCCCAAUUGGACUGAGAGAUUGAGAGACACAAGGAAGAGAAUAGCUGAGGCCAGGAGAAUUUAACAUGGCAAUUAGCAACCCACAGCACAAGACAGGAUGCUAGACCCCACAGCACAAGACAGGAUGGAAGUAACCAAAAAUCUCUCCAGCAGAGUAGAUGAUGAAUUGGUUGCGUCCCAGGGGUUG